UACGAAGGGGACUAGCGUUGUUCGGAUUUACUGGGCGUAAAGCGUGCGCAGGCGGUUCGUUAUGUCCGAUGUGAAAGCCCCGGGCUUAACCUGGGAAUGGCCAUGGAAACUGGCGAACUGGAGUGUGGCAGAGGGGGGUGGAAUUCCGCGUGUAGCAGUGAAAUGCGUAGAGAUGCGGAGGAACACCGAUGGCGAAGGCAGCCCCCUGGGCUAACACUGACGCUCAGGCACGAAAGCGUGGGGAGCAAACAGG
rnacentral:rRNA from 1 species